CUUGAGCCGUAGUGGUAAAGAUCUUGCCAUAAUCACUAGUAGGAAAAGGACAUAGGAGGCUGGUCAAUUCCAAGUCAUAGUUCUGGUCAGUUAAAGCAUGAUUAUGGUCAGCAUAAAGCUAUGAUAGUGGUAGGUGCAAAGCCAUGGUUGUGGUCGGUUUGCAGAUUCUGAGGGUUUGGAGGCACCAUUAGAUAACCUGGUCUAAGUCUGUCAGUGCUGAGCACGUGACCUCGAUCCGCUGAGAAUCGAGGACUUUCUUUCAUGGAUCUGCUAUGGAAACAACACAACCAGAACCUAGCAGAAAACCUGGGGACACCUGCCCAGGAAUGCAGAUUAGACUAUUAAACAUCUGCUGCAGCUUACAAGUAGAACUAUCACUCGAACCAUCAAAAGGAUCUGCUGUGAACAUAACACAACCAGAACCCAGAGGACAACCUGGGGACACCUGCCCUGCAACACAAACAAAAAUUCUUCCCAUCUUCCGUUACAGAAAAGUUCAGCCAACGGAUCAGAGCCCAGAGGGAUCUGCGGUGGAAACAAAUAAACAAAAAUUGAGUGGACAACCUGGAGACACCUGCCCUGAAAAACGGCUGAAAAUAUUCACAAUAUACCGCAGCAAGGAACUUGACUCAUCAUCAGAUAUCCGAGAGGGAGCUGUGGUGGAAACAAAUAAACAAAAAUUGAGUGGACAACCUGGAGACACCAGCCCUGAAAAACGGCUGAAAAUAUUCACAAUAUACCGCAGCAAGGAACUUGACUCAUCAUCAGAUAUCCGAGAGGGAUCUGCUGUGAAAAUAACACCACCAGAACGCAGCAGACAACCUGGGGACACCUGCCCUGCAACACGAACAAAAAUUUUUCCCAUCUUCCAUAAUGGAAAAGUUCAGCCAACGGAUCAGAGCCCAGAGGGCUCUUCUAACAACGAAAUGUCAACUGCUCUACCAAUGUCUAUUAAUGUCCUUGGAUCUGUUGUGGAAACAACACGAGAAACAUGUGGACAAGUUUUCGACACCUAUCCUGUAAAACAAUCGAAAUUAUUGAACAUCUUCCGUCGUAGAAAAUUUCAAGAACCAUAG
rnacentral:lncRNA from 1 species